rnacentral:rRNA from 1 species
UACGUAGGGUGCAGGCGUUAAUCGGAAUUACUGGGCGUAAAGCGUGCGCAGGCGGUUUGCUAAGACAGGCGUGAAAUCCCCGGGCUUAACCUGGGAACUGCGCUUGUAACUGGCAAGCUUGAGUGUGGCAGAGGGGGGUGGAAUUCCACGUGUAGCAGUGAAAUGCGUAGAGAUGUGGAGGAACACCGAUGGCGAAGGCAGCCCCCUGGGCUAACACUGACGCUCAUGCACGAAAGCGUGGGGAGCAAACAGG